AGACGUCUACAUUAGAUACCCCGGUAGUCCCAGCCGUAAACUAUGCGCGUUAGGUGUAUCGGUGACCACGAGUCACCGAGGUGCCGAAGGGAAACCGUGAAACGUGCCGCCUGGGAAGUACGGUCGCAAGGCUGAAACUCAAAGGAAUUGGCGGGGGAGCACAACAACGGGUGGAGCCUGCGGUUUAAUUGGACUCAACGCCGGACAACUCACCGGGAACGACAGCAAUAUGUAGGCCAGGCUGAAGACCUUGCCUGAAUCGCUG
rnacentral:rRNA from 1 species